rnacentral:ncRNA from 1 species
CGAAAGACUAUGAUUAGAAGAGUAGAUUUAGGUAAUUAUCACAGAGAGUCGGAACUACGGUGAGAAUCCGAUAUGAGACCUAUUUUGAAGAACAUCUAUGAGUCUCUAACCGAAAUCUGUGGAAAGUAGGCUUAGACGGAUCCAACCCGUUAAGAAUUGGACAGUAUCGAUAUCGAUUAAUUCUGUACUGGAAAGAGAGCUUUUAGCUAAUUAAGGUGGUACCGCGGAAGAUAACCUUUCGUCCUUUAU